UUCUAUCAUGAUUAUUUUUGUCUGCCAGGUGAAGAGACAAAGAGAGUGCAGUGGAAAAGAGAAAGCAAAAACAAGGAAUAAACACCCCACCAGAAUGAUGUGGUUUACUUUUCUUGUUUUUGUAUGAUGUAAUUUAUUUUUCAUAUCUUUCAGAGACAUCUAUAUAAACCCCAUUAGAGGGUAAAAACAAAAACGGAAAAGCCCAAAAUAAAUGGGCUGGAAUGUUGUGUAGAGGGUGAAAGCCUAUAAGCCCAAAAUAACUCCAACCAGGCGAUCAAAAGUACGCCCAGUACUCCACAAUUAUUCGGCAACCUGCCGCCAUUACCACCAACCAGGUGACCAAAAGUACGUCUAGUACCCCAAAAUUAUUCGGCAACCUGCCGCUAUUACUACCAACCAGGUGAUGAAAUGUACAACCCAUACUCUCCUUCAUGCCACCAACCAGGUGAUGAAAUGUACAACCCGUACUCUAAUAUUAUUUGGCAACUUGCCACUCAUGCCACUAACUAGGUAAAGAAGGAACUCAUCUUCAUGCCAUCAACUAGGUGAUGAAAUGUACAACCCGUACUCUAAUAUCAUUUGGCAACUUGCCACUCAUGCCACCAACCAGGUGAAGAAGGAACUAAUCUUCAUGCCACCAACCAGGUGAUGAAAUGUACAACCCAUACUCUCUUUCAUGCCACUAACCAUAUGAUGAAAUAUACAACCCGUACUCUCCUUCAUGCUACCAACCACGUGAUCAAAAGUACGCCCAAUACUCCAAAUUAUACAUGAGCAUUACUCAUGUCAUUCAUACAUAAACAUUCAUGAUCAUCACUCAUGAUAAUCAUACAUAAACAUUCAUGAGCAUCACUUAUGUCAAUCAGCUUCAAAAGCUUCAUUUACAGAGCUCUAGCUUCAAAAGCUCCAUUUACAAAAGCUCUAGCUUCAAAAACUUCAUUUACAGAGCUCCAGCUUCAAAGCUUCACUUGCAAAACUUCACUUACAAAGCUUCAGUGCAGGGUAUACAAAUACCACCUUCGAACAACCACCACUUCGGCCCAUACAUGGAUUCAAUUUGAAGUCUCCAGCCAACAGACUCUAUUGACCGAAGACUUGGGGGGACUACAUUUUGUACUAUAUAUUAGGCCUCAACUGGGCCUCAUGAAAAAUACUUGGGGGACUUAGCCCAAUAUUUAUGUAUUAAGGAGUGAGCCCUUAUUCUAUAAAAGGGACUCCCUCACUUUCAUUAGAGAGCACCCAUUAUUCAUGUACUAAAGAGCGAGCCCUUAUUUUAUAAAAGGGACUCCCUCACCUUCAUUAGAGAGCAACGCCGCCAACUGAGCAACCGCCUCGCUGCGAGCAUCACUCCUAAACCAUCACUUAUGUAUUGAAGAGUGAGCCCUUAUUCUAUAAAAGAGACUCCCCACCACCAUUAGAAAGCAUCACCGCCUACUGAGCAACCGCCUCGCCGCGAGCAUCAACUCUAGCCCAUCAUUUAUGUAUUGAGAAGCGAGCCCUUAUUCUAUAAAAUGGACUCUCUCACCUUCAACGCCACAAGCCGAGCCAACCAAGGCAACAUAAGCCACGAGCCGAGCAGCCUCGUAGCAUGUGCUACUUCUAGUUGAGCAUCAUUUCAGAUUGAGCACCACCUCAUAUCUAGCAUCAAGUUCAAGACAACAUCUAGUUACUUCGGCCCACACAUGGACUGAAUUUCAAGUCUCCAGCCAAAAGACUCUCUUGGUUAAAGACUUGGGGGAUUACUGUUUAUACCAUAUUUAGGGCCUCGUAUUUAGAUCUCGUACAAAUACUCGGGAGACUUAAAUAUAAUUAUGUGAUAACGGAAAGGGCAAAUAUGUAAUAAGUGAGGAGCCCUUAUUCUAUAAAAGGACUCCUCACCCUCACAAUUAGGAGGCCAAUUCCUAGGCCUUCUCACCCCCUCUCAAAGCCUCUCCUAUCUAGAGCAAAGCUCUCACACUCUCUCCCUCACAAAUACUCUCAUAGAAAUACAAUCAAUAUGGACGUAGCCCAAACCUUGAGGUGAACCACGAUACAUCUUGUGUUAUUUACUUUCUUGCAGAUUCACGGUCGGAUUUACGUUGUUCCAAGACCUCCGGUUUUGUGCAUCAACAUGUCAUAUAUAGUCAUUAUCAAGAACAAAUUAUUCGAGUAGCGGACAAGCAAGAUGUAAGCAAGAAUAAUUUGAUUACAAGAGAGUCUAAUAAUAAAAUAGAUAAGAAAUAUAAUUUAAUAUACUUAGGAACAAUAGUAGUAGGAGUUACGAGUCUAACUAGAUCACAAUUAGGAGUUAAAGUUUUAAUAAGCAUACUAGAUACUAGACAUAAAAAGUUAGACGCUGCCACAAUAGGAAUGAUGGAGAUUGAUGUCUGAAAAUGCUAGAGUGGUUUAUUGUCAACCUGGCUUUAUGAUUCCUUUCAAAUAUUUUUAUAAAGAUAUUCAAAUAACGGUAAAAUCUAAUAGGAUAAGAUAUGAUAGGAAAUAAAGACAACUUGUUACUCUGCGUAGGAUUUAUUGGUAAAUUACAAGUAAAUAGUAGUACAAGAACGAAAUUAGAUUUAAACAACUUAGAAAUAUUUGGAAGUAGAGGAAUUUCUGUUUUAAAAGCAAAAAAAGUAGAUGUUAAAAUUAGAAGAAAUAGAAUGGGAUGUGUCAAAUAUCUUAUUAGAUACUAAUACAAGAGAUCCCACAGAAUUCAAUAUGUACAUUCACUAUAAUGGAGAUCAAGCAAUAACAUUUAGUGUUUACAAACUUAGUAGGAAAGAAGAAGAAGAAUAUGAAGACGAAUUAUAGAGGUACUAGUUCUUUAGAAAAUAAAAGCAAGAAUGAGAGUACGUCCCUCUCAAAUUGGUACCAAAGCCUAGUUCUUGGAAAAUAUGUAUAGAUGGGCAAAGGAAAUGUCAUUAAAUUUAUCAGAUUUGACAAUUGUUAAAAAAACAUUAGAUAUUAUAGAUCUGUUUGGGCCCAAAAUAAUAGUUUGGGCCGAGUGUAGAAUCAUUCUCGGCCCGGAAGGCCUUGCGACAAGAAGACCAUGGAUCGUUCAGCUUGUGGGCUUCCAAACCUAGGCCGGUUAGGUCAAAAUGCAAUGACAAGUCGAGUCCUGAUACAAUAGGGAGUCUCGGCAGG
rnacentral:lncRNA from 1 species